UACAGAGGUCCCAAGCGUUGUUCGGAUUCAUUGGGCGUAAAGGGUGUGUAGGUGGCGCCGUAAGUCGGGUGUGAAAUCUCGGGGCUUAACUCCGAAACUGCAUUCGAUACUGCGGUGCUUGAGGACUGGAGAGGAGACUGGAAUUUACGGUGUAGCGGUGAAAUGCGUAGAUAUCGUAAGGAAGACCAGUGGCGAAGGCGGCUCUCUGGGACGGUACUGACGCUGAGACGCGAAAGCGUGGGGAGCAAACAGG
rnacentral:rRNA from 1 species